rnacentral:lncRNA from 1 species
AACACUGAAAAAAAAAAAGAACAAUAAUCAAGAUCCACGCCCCGUGCAAAUUUGUUGGCUGGCCGCGGCAACUCCAACGACUUCUGGGCAGUGGUGGGGAUCGGAUUUUGAAGGUGUUGUUGUGAGGAGUUAAAUUCAGGUGGUGGUGGUCGAAAAUCCGGUGGAUCUUGCCGAUCAUGGUCACGCUUUGCGGGAGAAACCGCAGCUUCGUGUGGCCGUUUCUGGCUACUUUCCGGUGGCGACGAAGAUACGCGGGUGCUCGCUGGUGCUUGGGAGUUAAUAAUUUUACAUAACAUUCUGUCUCUUCAAGUGCUAAUCUCGCAAUAUUUCUUUCUCUUCCGGCGAGUUUUUAGAAACUUCUCCGAUUAGGUAAUUUUCGCCUACCCUGUUUGUUUGCUAGGAAACUAACCAAAGUAACAACAAUGUAUAACACUAUGUGAUUAUAUGGAUUGCUAACUAAAUGUGAUAGUUGCUUCAAAUGAAAAAACAAUUGAGAUAUUAUGUUUGAUACUUAACUUGAAUUAGGGAAUGUGUGUAAAAGAUUUGAGUGUAAAUCAGCUCACAAAUGGAAAAGAAUACAUAAGCACAUUGGCUGAAAUGAUAGCCGUAUAUUAGUUUCUUGUAUAUUGAAUUGAAAUGAUUUAUUAAUUUCUGAAUUAUUUUGUUUCAUGUGUGAGGAAGUCUUUUGAUGCAAUAGCUUUUGAAACCGAACUUGUUUAGGUGCUUGUUAGAUUUGUUUCGAAGUGCUUUGAUGUUCUUGAUUUAUGAAUGCAAUUGUUUUCAAGAUAGUUUUAACAGGUCUCGGAUGAAGUUGAUGUCCU